rnacentral:rRNA from 1 species
CACGUAGGGGGCGAGCGUUGUCCGGAAUCAUUGGGCGUAAAGAGCUCGUAGGCGGCUCAGUAAGUCGGGUGUGAAACCCCCAGGCUCAACCUGGGGACGCCACCCGAUACUGCUGUGGCUAGAGUCCAGUAGGGGAGUGUGGAAUUCCAGGUGUAGCGGUGAAAUGCGUAGAUAUCUGGAGGAACACCGGUGGCGAAGGCGGCAUCCUGGACCGACAUUGACGCUGAGGCGCGAAAGCCAGGGGAGCAAAUGGG